UACGUAGGGGGCGAGCGUUGUCCGGAAUCAUUGGGCGUAAAGCGCGUGUAGGCGGCCCGGUAAGUCCGCUGUGAAAGUCCAGGGCUCAACCCUGGGAUGCCGGUGGAUACUGUCGGGCUCGAGUCCGGAAGAGGCGAGUAGAAUUCCUGGUGUAGCGGUGAAAUGCGCAGAUAUCAGGAGGAACACCAAUGGCGAAGGCAGCUCGCUGGGACGUGACUGACGCUGAGACGCGAAAGCGUGGGGAGCAAACAGG
rnacentral:rRNA from 1 species